rnacentral:rRNA from 1 species
UACGGAGGGUGCGAGCGUUGUCCGGAAUCAUUGGGCGUAAAGGGCGCGUAGGUGGCCCGGUCAGCGUGCGGUGAAAGCUCGGGGCUCAACCCCGAGUCGGCCGUGCGAACUGCUGGGCUUGAGCACUGUAGAGGCAGGCGGAAUUCCGGGUGUAGCGGUGGAAUGCGUAGAGAUCCGGAAGAACACCGGUGGCGAAGGCGGCCUGCUGGGCAGUAGCUGACGCUGAUGCGCGAAAGCGUGGGGAGCAAACAGG